AAACUUACCAGGUCAAGACAUGGGCGUGAUUGACAGGCUAAUGACUUUUCUCGAUUCCAUGGAUGGUGGUGCAUGGUCGCACUUAGUUGGUGCAGUGAUUUGUCAGGUUUAUUCCGGUAACGAACGAGACCUCGGCCUUGUAAAUAGCUAUGCUGCUUACAGGGACAUUGGCGGCUACGCCAAGGAAGCUCGAGGCAAUUGCAGAUCUGGAAUGCCCUUAGAUGUCCUGGGUCGCACGCGUGCUACAAUGACGCCACGAACGAGCUUGCGUGAUGAAAGUUACGCAUAAUCAGCAGUCGGCGUCUUAAGGGAUAGUCUCUUGUAACUGUGGGACUCCAACUAGGAAUGUCUCGUAAGCACAAGUCAACAUCUUGUGUUGAUUACGUCCCUGCUCUUUGUACACACCGCCCGUCGCUCCUACCGAUCGAGUGUUAUAGGUGAAUUUGAUGGACGUAAGGAAGUCAAAUAAACCUGAGCACUAGAGAAGAGAAGUCGACAUC
rnacentral:rRNA from 1 species